UAUCGGCGUAGAGUGAGUCGGCCCCUAAGGCGAGGCAGAGAUGCGUAGCUGAUGGGAAACAGGUCAAUAUUCCCGUACCGAUCAAUAGUGCGAUGUGGGGACGGAGAAGGUUAGCUCAGCCAACUGUUGGAUGUUGGUUCAAGCCUGUAGUCGUGCCUGGUAGGCAAAUCCGCCGGGCUUAGAUGAGGGGUGAUAACGAGUCUGCUUGCAGACGAAGUGAGUGAUACCCUGCUUCCAGGAAAAGCCACUAAGCUUCAGCUAUUGACGACCGUACCGCAAACCGACACUGGUGCGCGAGAUGAGUAUUCUAAGGCGCUUGAGAGAACACAGGAGAAGGAACUCGGCAAAUUGACACCGUAACUUCGGGAGAAGGUGUGCCCUCAGUAGGUGAACCUGUACAAGGGGAGCCCAAAGGGGUUGCAAAGAAUCGGUGGCUGCGACUGUUUAUUAAAAACACAGCACUCUGCAAACACGAAAGUGGACGUAUAGGGUGUGACGCCUGCCCGGUGCUGGAAGAUUAAAUGAUGGGGUGCAAGCUCUUGAUUGAAGUCCCAGUAAACGGCGGCCGUAACAAUAACGGUCCUAAGGUAGCGAAAUUCCUUGUCGGGUAAGUUCCGACCUGCACGAAUGGCGUAACGAUGGCCACACUGUCUCCUCCUGAGACUCAGCGAAGUUGAAAUGUUUGUGAUGAUGCAAUCUCCCCGCGGAAAGACGGAAAGACCCCAUGAACCUUUACUGUAGCUUUGUAUUGGACUUUGAACGGAUCUGUAUAGGAUAGGUGGGAGGCUUUGAAGCGGUGUCGCUAGACAUCGUGGAGCCAACGUUGAAAUACCACCCUGGUGCGUUUGAGGUUCUAACCUGGAUCCCUUAUCGGGAUUGGGGACAGUGCAUGGUAGGCAGUUUGACUGGGGCGGUCUCCUCCCAAAGCGUAACGGAGGAGUUCGAAGGUACGCUAGUUACGGUCGGACAUCGUGACGAUAGUGCAAUGGCAUAAGCGUGCUUAACUGCGAGACUGACAAGUCGAGCAGAUGCGAAAGCAGGACAUAGUGAUCCGGUGGUUCUGUAUGGAAGGGCCAUCGCUCAACGGAUAAAAGGUACUCUGGGGAUAACAGGCUGAUACCGCCCAAGAGUUCAUAUCGACGGCGGUGUUUGGCACCUCGAUGUCGGCUCAUCUCAUCCUGGGGCUGUAGCCGGUCCCAAGGGUAUGGCUGUUCGCCAUUUAAAGAGGUACGUGAGCUGGGUUUAAAACGUCGUGAGACAGUUUGGUCCCUAUCUUCCGUGGGCGCUGCAGAUUUGAGGAAGCCUGCUCCUAGUACGAGAGGACCGGAGUGGACACACCUCUGGUGUACCGGUUGUCACGCCAGUGGCAUCGCCGGGUAGCUAUGUGUGGAAGAGAUAACCGCUGAAAGCAUCUAAGCGGGAAACUCGUUUCAAGAUGAGAUCUGCCGGGGCCUUGAGCCCCCUAAAGAGUCGUUCAAGACCAGGACGUUGAUAGGCUGGGUGUGGAAGCGCAGUAAUGCGUUAAGCUAACCAGUACUAAUUGCUCGUGCGGCUUGACCG
rnacentral:rRNA from 1 species